ACCCAACGAUCACUUGGCAGGAAAUGCUAUCCUAAAUAUAAACAUUGAAACCAAAUACUAGUAAUUUAAAAUGCAUUAGAAAGUAUGGAUACAGAGCAUAUGAAUAGCCGGUCAUUCAAAGGGGCACUUUAAAUGGCACAUUUAUUUAAUUAAUAAAUGUAUCAUUAUCGAAAACUUGUGGUCAUCACCGAAAAUAGCCACUUAAUAAAACAAAUUUCUUCUUUGAAAAAUCACUCAGCUUUCUUCAAGCUAAAUCUCCUCUCUCCUCUUCCACCUUACCUUUUCUUCAAAACCGUUACCCGAAUCAUCUUUUCCCCAACACCACAAGAACGGACCCCAAAUUUUAGAAAGAAAACCCCUAAAAAACCAUAAUCAAAGAUGAACCCACGGUGUUCAUCAUCGGAAUCUCAACAGAUCCGAGCGAACCCAACUCCGAUUCCAACGAAAUGAAACAAAACCUCAUAACAGAGUAAACAUCAUAAACAACUUUAAAAUGAAAUUAGCAAAAACUCCUCAUGGAUAUACCACAGUCUAUACUCAACUCAAACAAUUCAUGAACAAGCAAUAAUUCGUCAAAUCAAACAUGCAAUCGGAAACCACAUGGUGCUACUAUGGCCUUGGAAAGAUCGAAUAAAGGGCGAAGGACGCCGCCGGAGCUCUAUGACCCCGGCGAGACUCCGAUGAAAAUUUACCUCUAGUAAGUAUCUUUCGAUUUCGUGUGCGAGCUCUCCUUUCGUUGCUUGAUCUAUGAUCUUCCUUCUUCUUUUCCGCUUAGUUUUUGGCCUCUCCUUCUUCUUACUUCUGUAUUUGGUUUCUCAGGGUUUAGCUCGUUUUGCUCAAAGUUCUGGUGAUGAACUUUGAGUAUCCCUUUGGUAUCUUUGAGCUUUGGUGUGUAGGUCGGGAUGCGAUUUCAGCAGAGUGACGGUGCAAGAUCAGCUCCCUUUCUAAUGAUUGGAUCCCCUCUUUAUAUAGAGUGAAGAUGAGUGGCAAAAUCCAUGAGCUGUCAAGAGAUCAUGAGAAUCAUUCCGUUGGAAGGAAAAUUCUCCUCAGAUUUUGUGGUCCCUAAAUGAGGCCAUUUGCACCACUGUGAAUGAUGAACUGAUACGACAGUAAUUUUGGCCAGCUUGGUUAUGUUAUUAGAGAAAUGGUAAGUGACUUGCACAUUCGGAAAUGGCUUCAAUGCAAGCGACACGUUGCGGGGAGUUUGAGAGAAGUCACUAAAGUUUGGGCCCCCCAACUCAUUGCGAAAAUCAACUGGAUAUGCUGAUGCCUCUCAGGAACUAGAGUUUUCUCUUUUCGACCUCUCCAACCAUUGGCCAUUGAGUUGUUGUGACUUUGCAGGGACACUUGUUGCUGCUUGAUUGUGUACUAAGGCGGAUCCCAUCUCCCUAACGCCUCGAGCUCGAAUGACCGGAGUUAAUGGGUAUUUGGCGUGCGUUGGUAGUGUUGGUUUGAUACUGGCUGAAUAUGCUGCUCAUGUUGCAGUUUGAUGAUCACCGUUUUGCAGGGCAUGGGAUUUACAGUGUGGAAGGCCAUGACAUGCUGUAGGUCUAAUGCACUUGACAUGGAUGGUGAUGAAGGCUGGACUAUGCUUAUCCGGACAUGGCUUGUUGCUUAUUAGAUUUUUUGGAAGUCUAUUUCUUUCAUUUGGCUUGACUGUAAUGUAACUUAAUCAGGAUUAUUAUGGCAGCUCUUGUGAUAUGCUCUUA